rnacentral:SRP_RNA from 1 species
UACCGGGUAGUGGUUAACGUAUGAAUGCCCAACCCCGCCAGGUCCGGAAGGAAGCAACGGUCAGUAUCUUGUACGUGUAAUCAUGAUCCCGGUUUUU